rnacentral:rRNA from 1 species
CGCGUAGGCGGCCUUUUAAGUCGGAUGUGAAAGCCCGGGGCCCUAACCCCGGAAGUGCAUUCGAUACUGAGAGGCUUGAGUAUGGGAGAGGGAAGUGGAAUUCCUGGUGUAGAGGUGAAAUUCGUAGAUAUCAGGAGGAACACCUGUGGCGAAGGCGACUUCCUGGACCAAUACUGACGCUGAGGCGCGAAGGCGUGGGGAGCAAACA